rnacentral:rRNA from 1 species
AUGCGUGCUUUAAGAUGGAACUGCCGAGGGCUUGGGAACCCUUGGACAGGUUGAGAGCUUCACAAAGUUGUGAAGCAAGAAGCUCCCGCCCUACUGUUUGUCAUGGAAACCAAAAUCAAGGGCAAAUGUGUGGAAGAGUUGAAAUUUACGUUAGGUUUUUCAGGCUGUUUUGCUGUUGACGGCAACGGGCUGAGUGGAGGGAUUGGUCUCUUU